AUUGAACGCUGGCGGCAUGCCUUACACAUGCAAGUCGAACGGCAGCACGGGAGCAAUCCUGGUGGCGAGUGGCGAACGGGUGAGUAAUAUAUCGGAACGUGCCCAGUCGUGGGGGAUAACGUAGCGAAAGCUACGCUAAUACCGCAUACGAUCUAUGGAUGAAAGCGGGGGAUCGCAAGACCUCGCGCGAUUGGAGCGGCCGAUAUCAGAUUAGGUAGUUGGUGAGGUAAAGGCUCACCAAGCCGACGAUCUGUAGCUGGUCUGAGAGGACGACCAGCCACACUGGGACUGAGACACGGCCCAGACUCCUACGGGAGGCAGCAGUGGGGAAUUUUGGACAAUGGGCGCAAGCCUGAUCCAGCAAUGCCGUGUGCAGGAUGAAGGCCUUCGGGUUGUAAACUGCUUUUGUACGGAACGAAACGGUGAGCUCUAAUACAGUUUGCUAAUGACGGUACCGUAAGAAUAAGCACCGGCUAACUACGUG
rnacentral:rRNA from 1 species